AGUUGUAGACAAAGAAUACCAUGUGCUAUUCUUUCGCCUUUUACUAAAGAAUACCGCAUGCUUGUUGCUCAAAAUGGUAUACGCCUAUUCUUGGAGAGGUCUUCAUUUAUUCGAAUGC